GACGAACGCUGGCGGCGUGCCUAAUACAUGCAAGUCGAACGAACCGCGACUAGGUGCUUGCACUUGGUCAAGGUGAGUGGCGAACGGGUGAGUAACACGUGGGUAACCUACCUCAUAGUGGGGGAUAACAGUCGGAAACGACUGCCAAUACCGCAUAGGACAUAGGAUCAAAUAAUCCAGUGAGGAAAGGUGGCGCAAGCUAUCGCUAAGAGAUGGACCCGCGGUGCAUUAGCUAGUUGGUAGGGUAAAGGCCUACCAAGGCGAUGAUGCAUAGCCGACCUGAGAGGGUGAUCGGCCACAUUGGGACUGAGACACGGCCCAAACUCCUACGGGAGGCAGCAGUAGGGAAUCUUCCGCAAUGGACGCAAGUCUGACGGAGCAACGCCGCGUGAGUGAAGAAGGUCUUCGGAUCGUAAAGCUCUGUUGUUAGAGAAGAACAGCGCAUAGAGUAACUGUUAUGCGUGUGACGGUAUCUAACCAGAAAGCCACGGCUAACUACGUG
rnacentral:rRNA from 1 species